AGAUGAUGAUGAUGAUGAUGAUGAUGAUGAGCAUGAUGGUGAUAAUGAUGGCGAGCAUUAGGAAAACCACAAUGAAAACGGGAUUGUGAUACUGACUUUUAUUUCUGCCCCUCCUCUUCCUUCUCCCCCUCCUACUCCUGAUCAUCAUCAUCAUCAUCAUCAUCAUCAUCGUCAUCA
rnacentral:pre_miRNA from 1 species